rnacentral:rRNA from 1 species
GACGAACGCUGGCGGCGUGCCUAACACAUGCAAGUCGAACGGGGCACCUUCGGGUGCUUAGUGGCGAACGGGUGAGUAACGCGUGAGAAACCUGCCUUUCAGUGGGGGACAACAGUUGGAAACGACUGCUAAUACCGCAUGACACUUUUAAGGGGCAUCCCUUUUAAGUCAAAGCUUUAUGUGCUGAAAGAUGGUCUCGCGUCUGAUUAGCUAGAUGGCGGGGUAACGGCCCACCAUGGCGACGAUCAGUAGCCGGUCUGAGAGGAUGAACGGCCACAUUGGGACUGAGAUACGGCCCAG